GACGUAGGGCGCAAGCGUUGUCCGGAAUUAUUGGGCGUAAAGAGCUCGUAGGCGGCUUGUCGCGUCGACUGUGAAAACCUGCAGCUCAACUGUGGGCUUGCAGUCGAUACGGGCAGGCUAGAAUUCGGUAGGGGAGACUGGAAUUCCUGGUGUAGCGGUGAAAUGCGCAGAUAUCAGGAGGAACACCGAUGGCGAAGGCAGCUCGCUGGGACGGUACUGACGCUGAGGAGCGAAAGCGUGGGGAGCGAACAGG
rnacentral:rRNA from 1 species